ensembl:lncRNA
GCUGUAUCUCGCAGAACUCAGAGAAAGCCAGCCCAGGAAGUGGUGAGCUCUGUUCUGCAACUGGGCACAGUGAUGCCUCUUGCUUUCUUAGCACAAGCUGGAAGCUUUUUCUAGAGGGUUCAAGCUCAGGGUGACUUGCUGGUGAGGAAGCCAAGCCCAGGGCCCUGGAAGGGAGGGCCUGCUCAGGACUUACCAUGGAGGGCACCCGUGUCACAGACUCAUGGCAGUCUCAGCCCCUCCCUUAAAGAAGAGGCAGGUCUCACCAACACGUCUAAGGAAGGAGGGGGAAGGUCUUGCUGCAGUUUAACUUCAGCAGUUUAGAGGAAAAACAGGAGAGUCUUGAGCAUUCCUUGGAGACAGGGCUUAUGGGGGGAGGUAGUGAGAAUGUUGUCAGGGCCUGGGAAUGACCUUGAGCCCCAUUCACGUGUCAGGCCACAGGGGGUCACCAGCAUUUCCCCUCCUUUAAGCCAUUCCUUGAGUCAUUCAAACAACAGACAUUCCCUGAGCUGUAGCGAGCCCUGAGUGCCAGGAAUUGGCUGAGGCCAGGAGCGGCUGUCUCUACUCUCCUGAAGUCUUGCAGCUGAUCUGUCCGACCACAAGAAUCACACAGGUUGAUUGUCUUGGAAAUGGGGCAGCAUUUUAUACAAUCCAGGUUAAACCUCUGGCUGGCAAAAAUAACCAGUUAAUUCAGUGGAUGAAAAAAACAAAUCCACAAUACCAACCUCUGGUUGAUCUGUCUGGGACAACAGCACGGGAACAUUUAAUGAGCACCUACACUGUGGACAUGCUGUUUUGAUGGUGUCACCGGGGACGAGUUAUUGGUCUCCGUCCUGUUUGCAAAGUGAGUUUUGCCUGGAGGCCUUAAUGCAGGAUGUCAGUGUGAUGGUGGCAACUGCACCUCCAAAGAUGAGUGGGACACAGUCAUGUGACCUCGAUGAGGGCAUUGACAACUGGAAAGUCUUCCCACAAUGACAGGGCCCCUGGCUGAGUAGGAAGCAGGCAGGGACAGAGGUGCUCUGGAAGAAGCAAGCACCUGACUACCCACACUCACGGAAGUUCUUGUGUGCGUGGGGCUGCCAGAUAGAUCAAUGUGAAUGUCAGACAAACCAUGAACAGCUUGUUGUAUAAGUGUAUCUUGUGCAGUAUUUGGGACAUACUUACACUAAACAUUUAUGUGUUGCUUAUCUGAAAUUUAAAUUUAACUGGAUGGCUUGUGUUUUUAUUUGCUAAAUCUGGCAACCCUAUGUGUGCCAGGCACAGCCCUACGUAAUGCUGGGAAUUCAGUGAUGAGGAAGGGCAGAGCCCACUACUGGACCAGUCAGGGGAUGAGGUGAUGUGGGCAGGGUGGGAGAACUUGCCCUCUUGGAAGCGGGAGGUGGCCCACCUCUGUGGGACCAGCCUGAGUCCGUGGGAAGAAGACUGAAAGCUGGGGAAAGAAUUUCCUUCCUUUGUGCCCCUCUUCAGUGCCAGGCACUGUACUGGGUCUAGUAGACACAGGGCAGCUACCCAAACAAACUCCCGGGGCUUCCCAGGUGGCUUGGGGUUAAAGACUCCACCUUGCAAUGUAAGGGCCUCUGGUUCAAUCCCUGGUCUGGGAAGAUCCCACAUGCCAUGGAGCAACUGAGCCUGAGCACCACAAUUAUUGAGCCUGUGCUCUAAAGCCUGGGAGCCGAAACUAUUGACCCUACUUAUCCUUGAGGCUGUGCUCCAUAACAAGAGAAGCCACCACAAUGAGAAGCCUGCACAGCGCAACUAAGAGUAGCCCCUACUCGCCCCAAGUAGAGAAAAGCUCACAUAGCUACAAAGACCCAGCAUGGCCAUAAAUAAAAAAAUAGAAAAACAAACUCCCCACUCUCAUGUGACAUUGUGGGUGUGGGGGGCGGUGAGCAAGAGAGACUAUAGACAGGCAUGCAAACCCAUAGCUAAACUAAGUUACAUCAGACAUGGUAACAGUGAGAUAGAGGCCGGGUUAGUAAUCAGAGUAGCCCACUCAGAGGAGGCGGAGUUUCAUUCAACUCAUCUUUAUGGAGCAUCUUCCUAGGGGCCUCCUGAGGCUCAGAUGCUUGCAGGUGAGACAGACAACAGAUUUGUAAACAUAUAAGUCCAGGCAAUGGUUUCAGAGGGACAAGAGUCGGAAAGGAACAAAAGGACUCAUCCUGGAUGCAGCUGGAUCCCAAGGGGUCAGAUGGCCCCUCAGCAGAGUGGGACAGCAGGGAAGGAACCCCAGGCUGGGGACAGCAAGUGCCCAGGCCAAAGUUCUUGGUGGAAGAGGAACUAAAGGAAAUCUGGGACUUAGAACACAUUUCCCAACCCAGU